rnacentral:rRNA from 1 species
AGAGCGAACGCUGGCGGCAGGCCUAACACAUGCAAGUCGAGCGCCCCGCAAGGGGAGCGGCAGACGGGAGAGUAACACGUGGGAACGUACCCUUCAGUUCGGAACAACCCAGGGAAACUUGGGCUAAUACCGAAUACGUCCGUAAGGAGAAAGAUUUAUCGCUGAAGGAUCGGCCCGCGUCUGAUUAGCUAGUUGGUGAGGUAAUGGCUCACCAAGGCUACGAUCAGUAGCUGGUCUGAGAGGAUGAUCAGCCUCACUGGGACUGAGACACGGCCCAGACUCCUACGGGAGGCAGCAGUGGGGAAUAUUGGACAAUGGGCGCAAGCCUGAUCCAGCCAUGCCGCGUGGGUGAUGAAGGCCCUAGGGUUGUAAAGCCCUUUGGCGGGAAGAUAAUGACGGUACCCGCAGAAGAAGCCCGGCUAACGUCGUGCCAGCAGCCGC